AGAGUGUGUAUAUCGAAGAUGAGACUCCCUCUCAUCAUCUCUGUUAUGGUCAUAUUUCUUAUAUUUUCAUCAGUUCAAUGUAUUCGAUUGGAAAAAGAGGUCAAAGAUAUAACCUCGCAUCAUAAAAUUAAUGUGAUUUCAAAUUCUGAUAUUACAACGACGGAAAAGGAAGAGCCGUUGAGAGAUAGUAAAA